AGAAUGAACGUUGGCGGCGUGGAUUAGGCAUGCAAGUCGUACGGGCCGCAAGGCCAGUGGCGCAAGGGUGAGUAAGGCGACGGUAACCAACCCCAUGAUUGGGUAUAGCCGCGGGAAACUGCGGGUAAUCCCCAGCGACGUCCCAGGGGGGCAUCCCCUGGGGACCAAAGUUCCGGCGUCGUGGGACGGGCCGUCGUGGUAUUAGGUUGUUGGCGGGGUAACGGCCCACCAAGCCUGCGAUGCCUACCGGGCGUGCGAGCGCGACCCGGCACACUGGGACUGAGACACUGCCCAGACUCCUACGGGAGCUGCAGUCGAGAAUCUUCGGCAAUGGGCGCAAGCCUGACCGAGCGACGCCGCGUGGAGGAUGAAGGCCUUCGGGUUGUAAACUCCUGUCGAGGGAAGAGGCCGGUAACGGCUUGACUGAUCCCUGGAGGAAGCACGGGCUAAGUUCGUGCCAGCAGCCG
rnacentral:rRNA from 1 species